AUACGGAGGGUGCGAACGUUAAUCGGAAUUACUGGGCGUAAAGCGCGCGUAGGCGGUUUGGUCAGUCGGAUGUGAAAGCCCUGGGCUCAACCUGGGAAUUGCAUUCGAUACUGCCGGACUAGAGUAUGGUAGAGGGAAGUGGAAUUUCCGGUGUAGCGGUGAAAUGCGUAGAUAUCGGAAGGAACACCAGUGGCGAAGGCGACUUCCUGGGCCAAUACUGACGCUGAGGUGCGAAAGCGUGGGGAGCAAACAGGAUUAGAUACCCCGGUAGUCC
rnacentral:rRNA from 1 species